rnacentral:rRNA from 1 species
GUGCCAGCAGCCGCGGUAAUACGAAAGGGGCAAGCGUUGUUCGGAUUUACUGGGCGUAAAGGGCACGCAGGCGGUCUUGCCAGUCAGGGGUGAAAGCCCGGGGCUCAACCCCGGAACUGCCUCUGAUACUGCAAGACUAGAGACUAGGAGAGGGUGGUGGAAUUCCCAGUGUAGAGGUGAAAUUCGUAGAUAUUGGGAGGAACACCAGAGGCGAAGGCGGCCACCUGGACUAGAUCUGACGCUCAGGUGCGAAAGCGUGGGGAGCAAACAGGAUUAGAUACCCUGGUAGUCCACGCCGUAAACGAUGAGUGCUAGUUGUCGGGACUUCGGUUUCGGUGACGCAGCUAACGCAUUAAGCACUCCGCCUGGGGAGUACGGUCGCAAGAUUAAAACUCAAAGGAAUUGACGG